AACAGGAGCACGGGUCAUCUUUUCCCCGGGGGCGUCGGAAUGGACCUGUGCCACCCAGAGCCCGCGGAGCUGAGCAGCGGGGAGACGGAAGAGUUACAGAGGAUCAAGUGGCACCGGAAGCAGCUCCUGGAGGACAUCCAGAAGCUGAAGGAUGAGAUCGCAGACGUGUUUGCCCAAAUCGACUGCUUCGAGAGUGCAGAGGAGAGCCGGAUGGCCCAGAAGGAGAAGGAGCUGUGUAUUGGGCGCAAGAAGUUCAACAUGGACCCCGCCAAGGGUAUCCAGUAUUUCAUUGAGCACAAGCUGCUGACCCCUGACAUCCAGGACAUUGCACGGUUCCUGUAUAAAGGCGAGGGCCUCAACAAGACAGCCAUUGGUACCUACCUGGGGGAGAGGGACCCCGUCAACCUGCAGGUCCUCCAGGCCUUCGUGGACUGCCACGAGUUCGCCAACCUCAACCUCGUCCAGGCCCUCAGGCAGUUCCUGUGGAGCUUCCGGCUGCCCGGCGAGGCCCAGAAGAUAGACCGGAUGAUGGAGGCCUUUGCCACCCGAUACUGCCUCUGCAACCCGGGCGUCUUCCAGUCCACAGUAGAGACGGGGUUUCACCAUGUUGGACAGGCUAGAACUCCUGACCUCAGGUGAUGCGCCCGCCUUGGCCUCCCACAGUGCUGAGAUUACAGGCAUGAGCCACCAUGCCAAGCCAAAGUUACUCAAUCCAUACAU
rnacentral:sRNA from 1 species